rnacentral:rRNA from 1 species
UACGUAGGGUGCGAGCGUUAAUCGGAAUUACUGGGCGUAAAGCGUGCGCAGGCGGUUUGCCAAGUCAGGUGUGAAAUCCCCGGGCUUAACCUGGGAACUGCGCUUGAAACUAGCGGGCUUGAGUGCGGCAGAGGGAGGUGGAAUUCCGCGUGUAGCAGUGAAAUGCGUAGAUAUGCGGAGGAACACCGAUGGCGAAGGCAGCCUCCUGGGAUAACACUGACGCUCAUGCGCGAAAGCGUGGGGAGCAAACAGG